rnacentral:tRNA from 1 species
UAGCUCAGUUGGUAGAGCAUGGUGCUUGCAAUGCCAGAGUUGUGGGUUUGAUUCCCAC